AAAGAAAUUAAAGAUGCGUUAAUGAUUUUUUUCGUAGAUUAUAAUCUGAAUCAGAUAAAAAAAGACUCUACGGAUUUAUCUGGCUAACACCUUUUGUAACACAAUAUUCUUCCGGGAAGUCACGGCUAUAUAAAUUGAGACUGCAGGGAAGCAGGGUAUUCAGUCGAGUAACAGACACAGUUGUGAAGCUAUAGGAUUUUACACUUUUGUACAAAAACAAUACAAACUUUCUCUAAAGGUAAGAUAUGAUAUCAGUAUUCACAUAUUAUUUAUAUAUUUGAUAGAAAUUAAUUCUAUGGAUUUGAUUUUGUCAUGAUUUUGUAUGUGGUAUCGUAGAAAAGUUUAACUGUUGUUAUAAAAACACAGAGAUUAAAGUUAAGUGGAAUAAUCUGGCGUAGCCAGGAAGUUUGACUGCUACAAUACGAUAUUGUAUUUAAAAAUAAUAGUGAAAAAACCUGAUAAAUUUGGGAUCCUAAAAAAUCAUUUAAAUGCCAAAAGAAGUUGAAAUCUUUUAUAUUUAAAAAAAAUUUUCUAAGAUUGUAUAAGGAAUACCUGAUAACUAUAUUGCUAUAUUGCAGAGGUGUAUGCAAAAUAAACUCAUGUUGUAAUGUCAAAAACCUAAUCAAUUUGUCGUAUCCUGAAAACAAUUUUCAUUGGGAAAAGAGAUGAAUUCUUCUAGGCCAGGUUUUCCAAUAUCUUUAAAGGAAUGAAACGUAUUUCAUAAGUCAAAGACUUAAUGUUGAAAAACAUCUAUAUAUAUAUAUAGACAACAAAGAGAUAACGGAGAUAUUUUUAACUUGUUUUUGUCUGGAAACACCUGUAUGAAUGUUAAUUACGUCGCCAUAAAAUCGCACUAGGAAUAAUUAGGAACAUGACUACUAAUAUAUCAAGCGUUGAUGGAGACUUCGAUCAACAAUGAAAAAUGUUUUCAAAAUCCUAUGAAAAUAGGUCGGAAUCUCCAUUGUAAAGCCUCAAACGAGGAGUAAGAAUUGAUAGUCACGCAUUAUUACGGCGAACAUUUCAAGCUCUAGAUUAACAAAAUAAAUGUUUGAUGGGUGUUGAUAGUGUUGGGAAAGCAUUGAGAACAGCUAAGCAAGGUCUCAUGAAUCCCAACUCUCAUGCACUCGCAUGCUCGUUUAAUCAGUUAAGCUAUAUGACCUACGUGACAUAUCAACUCUGUUUUCUAUCCACGUCUUAUCCCUGAUUAUCCUUGAUCCCUCCCUUCAUGAUAAUCCUCACGUGUGAAUCGUGCAUUAUCCCCCCUCUGAUUUCCACGAAUACAACCCAACGAGAACAACAGCGUGCAAAACAAUCCCCAAUUUAACCAUCCUCAAUUUAACCACAUUGGCAAAUUGUGUUAGGAUUUUGUGGAUCACAAUACAUAUUUAACAAAGCUUUCGACCCUAGUCUUCAUCAUGUUGUUACAUUUGCGCAGGACACUACAGGUCUUAACUCGUGCCUCGAAAUUUCUUCAUAAAUAUAGGUACAAUCUUUAAUAGACUUCACCAAAACUGAGAACAAACUAUUUAAACAAUAGUUAUCAAUUAUUUAUUUAUACAAACUACAAAGAACUUAUUAAACUAUUUAAAUUUUACACAUGAAGCUUCUUGAAAGAAGAUUAAUUAAUUCAACACUGACUCAAAUCUAUGGGGGAAGUUGUAAAAUGGGAUUUAGACCACUGGGAAUGAGAUUUGCAUGAAUAUAGGUACUACCUCGGGCAGGGCCGCCGAGAGGGGGGGCAAGGGGGGGGGGCAAAUUGCCCCGGGCCCCGAGGUGCUGGGGGGCAGGGGGGGGCAAAUUGCCCCGGGAAAGGACAAGAUAUUUGUUUUCUUGAGCUAAGUACCGAAAUUUGGCAUUAAAAAAUGAGAUAAAGUCACUGGAAAGCAACAGCAACGCACUCGUCCGGAAAAUUUUUUUACCCCUAAAAUGGUACACUGACCAAAAAUUUUUUGACGUAACAAGACGUUACUUAUUGCAAAGAACACAGAACAGCUGAAACCAUUUUGGAAAGUACUAAAAAAAUGAACAUUAUAGAUGUAAAGGUGCUAAACCAGAAGGUGUGAGGAAGACUAUGGAAAACUAUCCUAAUCCUUUGACCUUCUCAGCGUAAACGAUUCAGACACAAUUCUCUCCGUUUAACCUUGUUGUUUGUUUUAAGUUGUACUCGAUGUAAGCAGCUUAAGUUGUCUGAUACAACUGUUAUUUUUGCAUUACGUUUGUUAAAAUAAAUUUUAAAUCUUAAUCUUACUGGUAAAAUUAGUAACUCACGAAACAGACGUUCUGUCUCUACAAAGGCAGCACUAUGAAAACCUGCUUUUCACACUGAUCGCAAUUCAUUGGCGGAGUGACGUCCGUGUUCACAAAAACGGCCGAGGAACUGUGAAGGGGGGGGGGGGGGCACACUUUUUUAAAGGUGAGGAAAGUGCCAUUUUUUCUCGGCAAAAGUGCUCCAUUAAAGAACGAAAGAAGUAUUUCUUGAAUUCUUCUGGAAAGAAAGUGCCCUUUUUGCAGUAGUAAAUACACCUUCUUUUGCUGGAAAGAAAAUGCCCUUUUUGCAGUAGUAAAUACUCUGUAACUAAAGGCCAUUUCCGACGUUAUCGAACUACAUAUCGACAUAAAAUCGUUUGAUUUUGGUCAUAUACAAAAGUGCCCCUUUUGUCUAUGGAAAUGCUUCCGCGGCCUCUGCAGUGAUUCAAGAAUUUUUCUUUCAAAAAUGUUAUUUUCAUUGUCUCUGAUCUUAUUUUUUUUAGAUGCAUUUCACAACGAGUUUAACUAAAUCAAUCAUGUUGUUGAUGGUGCUGAUCCUCACAGCGAACUACGCGUCGACAACUGAUCCAUGUUACCAACAAUGCUCGAGUACAUACAACCAAUGCAAAAACGCGCCUGGGAGUAAGUUGGACGACUGCUAUAAUUGGAACAAGCAAUGCAUCUCUAAGUGUCCCGUUACUAAACGAGGAAACCCGCGCUUCGGGUAUACAGGAUACUGGGACGAGAUCGAAUACUAAUCAAUCACAAGGCAGAUGAUGACGUAAUGCAAUGAUGAUGGAUGACGACGUAAUGUUUUACCGAUGAGACUAUAUAAUAGACUUUAUUUAGAUAUGUAUUUCACCUAAUAACAUGUAUGUAGCUAAUUAAUAAAAAAUAAAUAUUCUAAUUUCAAAUUGUACGUAACAACCAAACGACUUGGAG